GAUGAAGAACGCAGCGAAAUGCGAUACGUAAUGUGAAUUGCAGAAUUCAGUGAAUCAUCGAGUCUUUGAACGCACAUUGCGCCCCCUGGUAUUCCGGGGGGCAUGCCUGUCCGAGCGUCAUUGCUGCCCUCAAGCACGGCUUGUGUGUUGGGCCUCCGUCCUCCUCCCGGGGGACGGGCCCGAAAGGCAGCGGCGGCACCGCGUCCGGUCCUCGAGCGUAUGGGGCUUCGUCACCCGCUCUUGUAGGCCCGGCCGGCGCUUGCCGACACAUCAAUCUUUUUUCCAGGUUGACCUCGGAUCAGGUAGGGAUACCCGCUGAACUUAAGCAUAUCAAUAAGCGAGG
rnacentral:misc_RNA from 1 species